rnacentral:rRNA from 1 species
UACGGGGGGGGCAAGCGUUGUUCGGAAUUACUGGGCGUAAAGGGCUCGUAGGCGGCCAACUAAGUCAGACGUGAAAUCCCUCGGCUUAACCGGGGAACUGCGUCUGAUACUGGAUGGCUUGAGGUUGGGAGAGGGAUGCGGAAUUCCAGGUGUAGCGGUGAAAUGCGUAGAUAUCUGGAGGAACACCGGUGGCGAAGGCGGCAUCCUGGACCAAUUCUGACGCUGAGGAGCGAAAGCUAGGGGAGCAAACAGG